rnacentral:lncRNA from 1 species
CCCUCCAUGACCCUCGAAAAAAGCAUCAAAUAUCACACUUUUUGCUGACAUCAGCAGGACUUCAAAGUGGAGUGUCAGCCAUGUCACGUUGUAUCCUGCUGUGUCAAAGAAUCCAAAAGUGUUGACACUUCCAGACAACUUAAAAGUUCAAGUAACAUAGUUAAAAAAUAUAUAAUGUUCUUGAUAGUGAAUUUGAAUGACAUAUUUCCCUAGAUUGAGCAAAACAGGAAGUCUCUUGGUCUAGAAUUCUAGUAUUCUACUACAACCCUCCCACAACGUGGGGAACAUUAGUAGGUUUCAAAUAAUGAUAUUUGUAGACAAAUAGUACUUCAGAUUAAAGCAAGCCAAAAUUCUUGGUCACAUUGCAGAGCAUCUAUGUAGUAAUAUACAAUUUUUAUUCAUAAGCAUAGCAGCAAAACAUAUAUUCUUGAGAAAAACACUUCAUAUCAUCCAUGACAUGGACAAAUGAAUCAAUCUAAAAUCAAAGG